UUAUAGGGGCUUCAUUAAGAGUAAAUAAUAAGGGAAGUAAUGAUAGGUAACCAGAAACCGCUAAUGGACGAAAUGCUUCCAAGUACCGACGGUCAAUUAAAGACAAUAUGCUAAAUGGCAGAAUUACCAUCAGAAUAGCUUUCUCAUGUACGUGCCAACCAAACAAAAAACUUAUCCAACCACAUAGAGUGACAGCUCCCACGAAAACCCGCCAUGUGGGUUUAAUAAAAAGUUUGAUUAAAACAGUGAUUUGAAGACCGAGACAUAUGUAAAAUGUUAGUGCUGGGGGGAUGUUUGGUAAAACAGCAAAAGAGCUUUCCCCAACCAAACCACGUGUAGGAGCAUUUAUUGACGUUCCCUGAUUUAGUGCAUAGCCAAAACGCGGCAGAACAGCAAAAGCAACACGAUCAACAAAAGAGUACAAGGCCCAAAAAUUAGGUGCCCAAUAAGCAUGACAAAGACCACGGGAAAAAGGAAACAAUCUUGAGAGAAGUUGGGGUAUUUGUUUCAUGUAAAUCCACGGUCCAAAGGCUAGU